rnacentral:rRNA from 1 species
CGAAAACGAAUUCUCUCUUGAGUGGAUCCUGAGUACGACGGAGCACGUGAAAUUCCGUCGGAAUCUGGGAGGACCAUCUCCUAAGGCUAAAUACUCUCUAGUGACCGAUAGUGAACCAGUACCGUGAGGGAAAGGUGAAAAGUACCCCGGAAGGGGAGUGAAAGAGAACUUGAAACCGUGUGCUUACAAGUAGUCAGAGCCCGUUAAUGGGUGAUGGCGUGCCUUUUGUAGAAUGAACCGGCGAGUUACGAUCUGAUGCAAGGUUAAGCAGAAAAUGUGGAGCCGUAGCGAAAGCGAGUCUGAAUAGGGCGAAUGAGUAUUUGGUCGUAGACCCGAAACCAGGUGAUCUACCCUUGGUCAGGUUGAAGUUCAGGUAACACUGAAUGGAGGACCGAACCGACUUACGUUGAAAAGUGAGCGGAUGA